ensembl:lncRNA
GGACUAAUUAUUGAUACUGAAAAGUCCAAGGUAAGAUAUCAAGAAUGCCACAGCUUGAGCAGAAACAAUGUUCGUGAGAUGUCAACUAGGCACUGCUUAGUGAAAUAAGCAGAUAGGUGUAAACUGUAGGAACUGCAAAAGGACCCAACCAACAAGCUGGGAUCAGGGGCAGGAUCCUAGGAAAUUACAGUCAGAAAGAGGGCCAGGAUUCAUGGGGGCAACAGGGCAGAUUGAUUAUACACUGAAAGGGGAACUCAGAAGACGGACCAAGGCCUACGUCACUGAAGAGCUACGGACAGUGAGAGCCGGACCUGAGGAAGGACGAGGAUGCCAGUUAAGCGCAGGGUUAUAUCGCUCAGGUCCAACUUCUAUUAACUCCCAUUCAACCCAUCUCGAGAACAACCUCACACUUCCUUUACCACCCAGGAUUGGCUCAGGAACUGAGCUGGGAGACUCUUCAGGAAGGACCAUCACGACAGCCAUGUAGGUCUGAACGGCGGAGGCAGAAGCAGGCCUUCAGGGAGCCAGUUGGGGGCAUGAGUGCAAGUAAAGAAGAGGAAAAAAGGAGAAAAUGAUCUAAUAUUCCAAAAUUAAGAAGAAAAAGAGGAGGAUCCAGCCAAGGAGACUGAGAAGGAGCAACCAGCAAGAUAGGAAGAAAACUAAGAAACAGUUGCAUUCUGGAAACCAAGUGAAGAAAGUUUCUUAAGGGAAAGGGAGUGAUCAAAUGCGUCAAAUGAUACCAAGAGGGCAAGUCAGAUGAACACUGAGAACUGUCCACCAUAUUUAGGACCAUGGAGGUCAAUCGGUGACCUCAAGAAGAACAAUUUUUAGACUCAUGAGGGAGAAAGUCUGGUUAGAUUUCAUUAAAAGAGAAAGGAAGAAGAAGUGAAAUCAAGGAGCAAAGACAACUCUUUUGCUCCAAAGAGGAACAAAGAAAUGGGGUAGUAGGUGGAAUGGAAAAUGGGUGAAGAGAAAUAUUUUUUAAGAUAAAAGAAGAAAUAAUAUGGGGGUAGGGCACAAAGGGGGAAGUGGUGUACCCACAGCAUGACUAACAAUAAUGUACAACUGAAAUCUCACAAGGUUGUAAUCUAUCAUAACAGUAAUAAAAAAAAAAAAAGAAAGAAAAAAAAGAAGAAAUAAUAUAUUUAUAUAUUCCUGAGAAUUAUUCCAUAGAGAGGGAAAAUUUGAUGAUGAGGAUGGGAGAAGGGAAUAUUGCUAGAGCAAUGUCCUUGAGUAGGCUACAGAGUAUAAGAUCUAAAGGUGAGGAAUACAAGACUGGUAAUGGAUCUAAGCUUUUACAUGGGCAGUAGAGUGGAAGGGUUUGGGGAGGUAAGGAGUGGGAGGAGCAAAGAAUAGAAUGGAAUGUACAGAGGCUGUGUGGAGUUUCCCUCAAUUUUUCAAACACUAUUCAUGUAAGAAUAAACACUUCACUGUAAAUGUGGUGUUUAGCAACUGAUUGCCUGAAGUAUAGAUUAUCCAAGAUUUUUCAUACCACGGCUUGCUAUAAUCUCCUAAGGAUUGGUGAGGAAAAGAAAUGGAGAUAAAACUCAAAAUCCAUGUCAAUUUGGACAUUGUAAGCAGAUCAUCAGAUUAAAGUUAGGUAAUGAUAAGAGGUUAUUUGUCAAAUACAUUUAAGAAUUUUCUGAGGACUUCACAUACUUAUGUUGCUCACAUUUUCCAUUGCCAUGACAUUUCCAAGUUUCAUGUUUGCGUUAUACGUCUAUGGAUGUGCAACUCAAAAUUAUAGUUUUAAAAAAGAACAAAUACAUUUGGUGGAAAUCUGGGAUCUUUGGCAUAGCUAAUAGAGAAGAGACUUCUAGUUAUUAAUUACAAUAAACAAACGUGUCCAUAAUGACAGAGUUUACAGCAAUGAGGCAUAUUUCUUCUUGCGAUAAUAAUUAAUUGGCUGAAGACUUGCUGGUCCAAUGGAA